rnacentral:rRNA from 1 species
UACGUAGGGGGCAAGCGUUGUCCGGAUUUACUGGGUAUAAAGGGCGUGUAGCCUGGUUGACAAGUCAGAUGUGAAAUCCUGCGGCUUAACCGCAGAACUGCAUUUGAAACUGUUGAUCUUGAGUACUGGAGAGGCAGACGGAAUUCCUAGUGUAGCGGUGAAAUGCGUAGAUAUUAGGAGGAACACCAGUGGCGAAGGCGGUCUGCUGGACAGCAACUGACGGUGAGGCGCGAAAGCGUGGGGAGCAAACAGG